UACGGAGGGUGCGAGCGUUGUCCGGAAUCACUGGGCGUAAAGCGCACGUAGGCGGCUUUCUAAGUCGGGGGUGAAAUCCUGGAGCUCAACUCCAGAACUGCCUUCGAUACUGGAGAGCUCGAGUCCGGGAGAGGUGAGUGGAACUGCGAGUGUAGAGGUGAAAUUCGUAGAUAUUCGCAAGAACACCAGUGGCGAAGGCGGCUCACUGGCCCGGUACUGACGCUGAGGUGCGAAAGCGUGGGGAGCAAACAGG
rnacentral:rRNA from 1 species